GUGGGGAAUAUUGGACAAUGGGCGAAAGCCUGAUCCAGCCAUGCCGCGUGUGUGAAGAAGGUCUUCGGAUUGUAAAGCACUUUAAGUUGGGAGGAAGGGCAGUAAGCUAAUACCUUGCUGUUUUGACGUUACCGACAGAAUAAGCACCGGCUAACUUCGUGCAAGCAGCCGCGGUAAUACGAAGGGUGCAAGCGUUAAUCGGAAUUACUGGGCGUAAAGCGCGCGUAGGUGGUUCAGCAAGUUGGAGGUGAAAUCCCCGGGCUCAACCUGGGAACUGCCUCCAAAACUGCAUGACUAGAGUACGGUAGAGGGUAGUGGAAUUUCCUGUGUAGCGGUGAAAUGCGUAGAUAUAGGAAGGAACACCAGUGGCGAAGGCGACUACCUGGACUGAUACUGACACUGAGGUGCGAAAGCGUGGGGAGCAAACAGGAUUAGAUACCCGUGUAGUCC
rnacentral:rRNA from 1 species